rnacentral:rRNA from 1 species
CCUACGGGAGGCAGCAGUAGGGAAUCUUCCACAAUGGGCGAAAGCCUGAUGGAGCAACGCCGCGUGGGUGAAGAAGGUCUUCGGAUCGUAAAACCCUGUUGUUAGAGAAGAAAGUGCGUGAGAGUAACUGUUCACGUUUCGACGGUAUCUACCCAGAAAGCCACGGCUAACUACGUGCCAGCAGCCGCGGUAAUACGUAGGUGGCAAGCGUUAUCCGGAUUUAUUGGGCGUAAAGGGAACGCAGGCGGUCUUUUAAGUCCGAUGGGAAAGCCUUCGGCUUAACCGGAGUAGUGCAUUGGAAACUGGGAGACUUGAGUGCAGAAGAGGAGAGUGGAACUCCAUGUGUAGCGGUGAGAUGCGUAGAUAUAUGGAAGAACACCAGUGGCGAAAGCGGCUCUCUGGUCUGUAACUGACGCUGAGGUUCGAAAGCGUGGGUAGCAAACAGGAUUAGAUACCCUAGUAGUC